rnacentral:rRNA from 1 species
AUAGCCUAGCGGCUGAACCAGCAACUUGGAGGAAUGUAUAGCAAUAGCUAUUUGCGCUAAAAAUAUAUAGUGUAAAAUCGACUAUGUCGAAUAAAAUUCUGGCUAGAAAUAUGAUAAUGACAUAUUCUGUCCAUAAGUCUUGACCAAAUUACGUGCCAGCAGUCGCGGUAAUACGUAGAAGACAAGUGUUAUUCAUCUUUAAUAGGUUUAAAGGGUACUUAGACGGUAAAUAAAGCCUUUAAAAGGGUACUAGUUUGCUAGAGUUUUAUGUGAAGGAGUUUUAAAGUACUACUGGUGUAGAGAUGAAAUUCAGUUAUACCUUACAUGGCACAGGUUAAGGCGAAAGCAUCUUCUUAUGUAAAAACUGACGUUGAAGGACGAAGGCUUUGUGUCUCGAACAGGAUUAGAUACCCUAGUAGUCUAAGCAGAAAAUGAUGAAUGUCAUAGAUUAGAUAAGAUUUGAUCUGUAAAUGAAAGUGUAAGCAUUCCACCUCAAGAGUAAUUUGGCAACAUUGGAACUGAAAUCAUUAGACCGUUUCUGAAACCAGUAGUGAAGUAUGUUGUUUAAUUUGAUAACCCGCAAAAAACCUUACCACAAUUUGAAUAGAUAUAUUUUAUCAUACAAGCGUUGCACGGCUGUCUUCAGUUAAUGUCGUGAGACUUUGGUUAGUUCCAUAAAAUUAACGUAAACCCUUACUUUAUUUUUAUAUAAAGUAGUUCACCGCUAGAUUGGAUGUGAUAAUAGGGAUCAAGACAAGUUAUCGUGGCCUAAAUAUUGU